UUUAUACUCCCUUCGUCCCAAAAUUCUUGUCUUAGGUUUGUAUAGAAAUAGAUGUAUUAAAAUAUUAAAACCUGACUAGAUACAUUCAUAUCUAGACAAAUCUAAGAUAAGAAUUUUGAAACAGAGGGAGUAUUUA
rfam:Hordeum vulgare subsp. vulgare, WGS project CAJW01000000 data, contig: morex_contig_1559770